CAGUCGCCACGGUAAUACGAAGGGGGCUAGCGUUGUUCGGAAUUACUGGGCGUAAAGCGUGCGUAGGCGGUUUGUUAAGUCUGCUGUGAAAUCCCCGGGCUCAACCUGGGAAUGGCAGUGGAUACUGGCAAGCUAGAGUGUGUCAGAGGAUGGUGGAAUUCCCGGUGUAGCGGUGAAAUGCGUAGAGAUCGGGAGGAACAUCAGUGGCGAAGGCGGCCAUCUGGGACAACACUGACGCUGAGGCACGAAAGCGUGGGGAGCAAACAGGAUUAGAUACCCCUGUAGUCCCUGUCUCUUAUAC
rnacentral:rRNA from 1 species